rnacentral:rRNA from 1 species
UACGUAGGGUGCAAGCGUUGUCCGGAAUUAUUGGGCGUAAAGAGCUCGUAGGCGGUCAGUCGCGUCUGCUGUGAAAACUCGGGGCUUAACUCCGGGCCUGCAGUGGGUACGGGCUGACUAGAGUGCGGUAGGGGAGACUGGAAUUCCUGGUGUAGCGGUGAAAUGCGCAGAUAUCAGGAGGAACACCGGUGGCGAAGGCGGAUCUCUGGGCCAUUACUGACGCUGAGGAGCGAAAGCGUGGGGAGCGAACAGG